UACGGAGGAUCCAAGCGUUAUCCGGAUUUAUUGGGUUUAAAGGGUGCGUAGGCGGCUUAUUAAGUCGGUGGUGAAAGCCUGGAGCUUAACUCCAGAACUGCCAUUGAUACUGAUGAGCUUGAGUAUAGUUGAGGUGGGCGGAAUGUGUCAUGUAGCGGUGAAAUGCUUAGAUAUGACACAGAACACCGAUUGCGAAGGCAGCUCGCUAAACUAUAACUGACGCUGAGGCACGAAAGCGUGGGUAGCAAACAGG
rnacentral:rRNA from 1 species